UGAGUUUGAUCCUGGCUCAGGAUGAACGCUGGCGGCGUGCUUAACACAUGCAAGUCGAACGAUGAAGCCCAGCUUGCUGGGUGGAUUAGUGGCGAACGGGUGAGUAACACGUGAGUAACCUGCCCUUAACUCUGGGAUAAGCCUGGGAAACUGGGUCUAAUACCGGAUAGGAGCGCCUACCGCAUGGUGGGUGUUGGAAAGAUUUAUCGGUUUUGGAUGGACUCGCGGCCUAUCAGCUUGUUGGUGAGGUAAUGGCUCACCAAGGCGACGACGGGUAGCCGGCCUGAGAGGGUGACCGGCCACACUGGGACUGAGACACGGCCCAGACUCCUACGGGAGGCAGCAGUGGGGAAUAUUGCACAAUGGGCGCAAGCCUGAUGCAGCGACGCCGCGUGAGGGAUGACGGCCUUCGGGUUGUAAACCUCUUUCAGUAGGAAGAAGCGAAAGUGACGGA
rnacentral:rRNA from 1 species